UACGUAGGGUGCAAGCGUUGUCCGGAAUUAUUGGGCGUAAAGAGCUCGUAGGCGGUUCGUUGCGUCGGCUGUGAAAUCCCGAGGCUCAACCUCGGGUCUGCAGUCGAUACGGGCGGACUGGAGUUCGGCAGGGGAGACUGGAAUUCCUGGUGUAGCGGUGAAAUUCGUAGAUAUCAGGAGGAACACCUGUGGCGAAAGCGGCUCACUGGACCAUAACUGACGCUGAUGCACGAAAGCUAGGGGAGCAAACAGG
rnacentral:rRNA from 1 species